rnacentral:pre_miRNA from 1 species
AUUCUACUCCCUCUGUUGCACAAUACAUGCCUUCUAUUUGUCAAAAUAUAUAUGUAUCUAGACAUGUCUUAGUAUAUAGGUACAUCCAUUUUUGGACAAAUGGAAGUCAAGUAUUUUGGAAUGAAAGGAGUACACA